CAGCAGUAGGGAUCUUCCGCAUGGACGAAAGUCUGACGGAGCAACGCCGCGUGAGUGAUGAAGGUUUUCGGAUCGUAAAACUCUGUUAUUAGGGAAGAACAAAUGUGUAAGUAACUGUGCACAUCUUGACGGUACCUAAUCAGAAAGCCACGGCUAACUACGUGCCAGCAGCCGCGGUAAUACGUAGGUGGCAAGCGUUAUCCGGAAUUAUUGGGCGUAAAGCGCGCGUAGGCGGUUUCUUAAGUCUGAUGUGAAAGCCCACGGCUCAACCGUGGAGGGUCAUUGGAAACUGGGAAACUUGAGUACAGAAGAGGAAAGUGGAAUUCCAUGUGUAGCGGUGAAAUGCGCAGAGAUAUGGAGGAACACCAGUGGCGAAGGCGACUUUCUGGUCUGUAACUGACGCUGAUGUGCGAAAGCGUGGGGAUCAAACAGGAUUAGAUACCCUGGUAGUCCACGCCGUAAACGAUGAGUGCUAAGUGUUAGGGGGUUUCCGCCCCUUAGUGCUGCAGCUAACGCAUUAAGCACUCCGCCUGGGGAGUACGACCGCAAGGUUGAAACUCAAAGGAAUUGACGGGGCCCCU
rnacentral:rRNA from 1 species